rnacentral:lncRNA from 1 species
GGGAACUUCAGAAUUACCAUUGACAGCCGAAGCGCAACUUUUCCCCAGGCAAAGUGAAAUCAAGCCGCGGACUCGGACAAAAUAUAGUCCCCGUUUUUCAACUUAAAAUUACCGAAAGAAAAGCUAACCCGCUCCCCCGUCGGACCCCUCGACGUUCGGCCGUUAAUCUGGACAGGACCCGUCCGGGGCCUGAGCUCUUUCUGCCGGGUUUGGAGCACUUUUGAAGACGGGCGGAAAGUGGGUGAUGAGUCCUAGCCUGUAAAAAGAAGCGAGAACUUGCUUUUGCAGCCUGAGUAGUUCUUCUUUCAAUUGUUAUUGUCGCUUUAAAAAAUCUUUUAUUCACUUAAAACUUCGUCUCGGUCGCGUCGAAAGUGGGAGAAAAGUGCUUUUCUGGUCGGAACAUGGAACUACAAGGCCUGCAAGAGGCGUUGAAAGUAGAAAUCCAAUGUCAUCAGGAUGGAGAGCUUAAGAGACAGCUACACGACAGGAGAAUAACAGCCCUGAGCGAUAAACAAGUUAUCUGUGACCCUUCAGACUUUAGAGUCGAGCAUCUGAAAUGUCUCCGGAGUCGGAGAGUCCUUUCCGCCCGCCGUCGUGCUCCACAGCGGCCGUGUGCCGGGUCGUUUGGGUCGGCGACCAGAUCCGCUUGUUCUCUGCGGAAGGUCACGGAGGUCGUACAUCCCAUUACAUCACCCGGACGAUAAUAAAGAGC